UUUGGGAUUCUCGGGACUCUG
rnacentral:misc_RNA from 1 species